rnacentral:ncRNA from 1 species
CCAGUGCGGUAACGCAAACCAGCUCGGAGACGCCGAUGCGAGCCCGGGAAGAGUUUUCUUUCUCUGUAAGGAGAUCGAGUCCCUGGAAUGGGUUCGCCCCGAGAUAGGGAUGGUGGCUCCGUAGAGCAGUGCGGUUCUUGCGCUGUCCGGUGCGCUCGCGUCGGCCCUUGAAAAUCCGAGUGAGGGAGUGUGAUUUUCGUGCCGGACCGUACCCAUAUCCGCAGCAGGUCUCCAAGGUGAACAGCCUCUAGUCGAUGGACCAAUGUAGGUAAGGGAAGUCGGCAAAACGGAUCCGUAACCUUGGGAUAAGGAUUGGCUCUGAGGACUCAGCCGGUCGGGCUGGGGACCUGAAGCAGGAACGGCACUGCACCGGGACUGGGCGGGGCUCGCCGUUCACGCGGCACGGCCAAGCCCGGACCAGCGUCGGGACCUUCCUGUGGAAAGCCUCAGCUGCGCGGCGUCUGAGGGCUUCGUGCCCAAAGUGCUAUGCUUCGGCCGGCAAAAAACAGUCAACUCAGAACUGGCACGGACCGGGGGAAUCCGACUGUCUAAUUAAAACAAAGCAUUGCGAUGGCCGCUGGUCGGUGUUGACGCAAUGUGAUUUCUGCCCAGUGCUCUGAAUGUCAACGUGAAGAGAUUCAUCAAAGCGCGGGUAAACGGCGGGAGUAACUAUGACCCAAACGAGGAAAACGGAAGCAGAGGCGGUCUGAGUAUGCAAGAGUUCAAGCUCUAUACCAGAAAAGCCGGCACCGUUGUGCGCAGGAAAUCCUCGAUGGUACGCAAGUGAAUAAAGUCACCGACCAUCAAAACUUCAUUGAUUUUUGGAAACGCACGAUGACUGAGACGCCUCCUGUGCCCCCGUUGGACGUCAAUCCGCCCACGGAAAUACAUGACGACCUAUGGAAACCGGUCACCAGGGAUGACAUACGAAAACAUCUCCCGCCGUGUUCUACGGCUACUGGUCCGGAUGGAAUGACAUCGAGAGAACUGAGGAGCGUUCCGUUCUCUCACCUGGCACUGCUAACGAACCUAAUCCUGGUUAUUGGAGAGGUUCCGCGGAUCCU